GUGGCUCACAGUCUUGGGUUUUAUGGUUGUGGGGUUAGUUUCCAGGUUGCCUCUGGCUAAUCAUUCUGACUCGGCCCUUCCUAGUGGUGUGUACAUGGCUCAGCCAAGAUGGACUCCAGCAAAGAGGAUUCUGGGAGACUGGUCUUCACAGCUGUGUGGAGGCUUCAGUAGUAGCGGCUCUCGGCCCCAGAGCUCGGGCUCAGCAGUCACGGUGCUGGGCUUAGUCACCCUGGGGCAUGUGGAAUCUUCCCUGACCAGGGAUCACACCUGUGUCCCCGGCAUUGGCAGUAAUUAUCGAUGGCGAGAACUCUCACUUCUCUAUGGUGUCAGAGGGCUUUGAGAAGAGCUGGCCUCCAGCAGCCUGGCUCUCCAGCUUCAUCGCUAGUGAUUUCCUCUCCUCUCUCAUACUUUUCACAUGAACAUCCAGCUCCAGACAAGAUGAAGCAGAUCCACUUUCUCCCUCUUCCUCUGGUUAAGUGCUUCCUAACAUCCCGAACAUCACAGAUACAACAAACAUCUGAAAAGCAAAGCAAAGGCUAGGGACCCCAGGACUCAAGGAGUGACAUGGCACCGAGGUGGUAUCAACAGAGCCCGAGAUGGGUUGCUGAACUUCUGCUCUGGUCCAGCAAUAACGAGAAGCCUGCCACCCCUCAAGUGUCGACGGCUGCAUGGAGACCCUGGACUUUUACCCCCACCUGGCGGUAACCAGGAGGUCACCCUCCACCCCGCCCCACCCUGCCUGGCAGAGCAGUAGGAAAGGGGCCCUGCGGAAACAGAUCAGUCUCAGAACACAAUACCUGAAGUGUCCAAGAUGCAAUUUAAAAUCACUCAUGAUGCCAAGAACCAGGAAAAUUUCAACUUGAAUGAGAAGAGAUAAUUAGCAGAUGCCAACACGGAGAUGACAGAGAUGUUGGAAUUAUCUGACAAGGAUUUAAAAACAACCAUCAUCAACAUGCUUCACUGAGCAAUGGUAACAUUGCUCAAUAACUUAAAGGAACGAAUAGCAAGUCUCAGCGCAGAAAUAAAAGGUGGAAAGAAGGCUCAUAUCCUUUACUUGGGCCUUAAAAGCGCCACUCGUGUUUCCGGGAUGACCACCCUCACCUCGUGCCUGGGCCAAGGCGUCUGCCUCUUCUUAGAACACCCAUCUCUCCUUUUUAAAUCCUGCUUGUCCCGGGGGUCAGCUGAGAUGUCACCUCCUCUGCGAAGCCUUCUUUGACUUCCAUGCCCCUUCCUCCUGAAAGCUCCCCACGCCAUAGCACUCACACUCAACUCCAAUUAUUCUGUCCUCUCUCCCUC
ensembl:lncRNA